rnacentral:lncRNA from 1 species
GGGAAGGUGUUAGCACCCAAAGUGUCAUAGGUACUCAUAGGUGUAGCACCUCAAAUUUGCACCUCCCAUUUGUACAUUCAUUUUCAUAUUAGGUCAUUAACAUAACAUAGUCCACUGCAUAGCAUUGCAUUGUCCUUUGCCCAAGUGCAAGUCAUCAGACAAGAUUAGGUCAACUGAUCAGGAGAAUCAGUCAAGCAAGC